CUUUAACUCUGGCGGUAGGCCUAACACAUGCAAGUCGAACGGCAGCACAGUAAGAGCUUGCUCUUACGGGUGGCGAGUGGCGGACGGGUGAGGAAUACAUCGGAAUCUACUUUUUCGUGGGGGAUAACGUAGGGAAACUUACGCUAAUACCGCAUACGACCUACGGGUGAAAGCAGGGGAUCUUCGGACCUUGCGCGAUUGAAUGAGCCGAUGUCGGAUUAGCUAGUUGGCGGGGUAAAGGCCCACCAAGGCGACGAUCCGUAGCUGGUCUGAGAGGAUGAUCAGCCACACUGGAACUGAGACACGGUCCAGACUCCUACGGGAGGCAGCAGUGGGGAAUAUUGGACAAUGGGCGCAAGCCUGAUCCAGCCAUACCGCGUGGGUGAAGAAGGCCUUCGGGUUGUAAAGCCCUUUUGUUGGGAAAGAAAAGCAGCAGGUUAAUACCCCGCUGUUCUGACGGUACCCAAAGAAUAAGCACCGGCUAACUUCGUG
rnacentral:rRNA from 1 species